rnacentral:rRNA from 1 species
GAUGAACGCUAGCGGCAGGCUUAAUACAUGCAAGUCGAGGGGCAGCAGGGGUGUAGCAAUACACUCGCUGGCGACCGGCAAACGGGUGCGGAACACGUACGCAACCUACCCAAAACUGAUGAAUAGCCCUCCGAAAGGAGGAUUAAUACAUCGUAACAUAAUGAAGUGGCAUCACUUUUAUUAUUAUAGCUCCGGCGGUUUUGGAUGGGCGUGCGCCUGAUAGAUAGUUGGCGGGGUAACGGCCCACCAAGUCUACGAUCAGUAACUGGUGUGAGAGCACGACCAGUCACACGGGCACUGAGACACGGGCCCGACUCCUACGGGAGGCAGCAGUAAGGAAUAUUGGUCAAUGGACGCAAGUCUGAACCAGCCAUGCCGCGUGAAGGAUGAAGGUCCUCUGGAUUGUAAACUUCUUUUAUAUGGGACGAAACCCUCGAAUUUCUUUCGGGAUUGACGGUACCAUAGGAAU